AGUAUAUAGCUCAAUGGUAAAGUGCUUGCCUAGCAUGUAUGAGGCCCUGGGUUCCAUCUCUAGCAGUACUG
rnacentral:tRNA from 1 species